rnacentral:misc_RNA from 1 species
AUGUAGAGCUUUAAUUUAAAAACACAACUUUUAGGUUAUGCUCAUAGAUAUAAGUUUGUCGUAGACCAUAGAUAAUAGAUACACAAACGGUUAUAGACAUAGACCUUUGUAUAUCUAUUACCUAUGGACAUAGAUCAAAUCAUAGAUAAUGAUCAAACAUAGAUAGACAUGUCAUAGAUACAAGAUAGACACAAGGGAAUAUUUUUAUCUAUGGGAAUAUUCAAAAAAUGUCGUGCAUUUUAUUGGUUAUAUUUUUGUUUACAUUUUUGUCAACUUUUUAAUUUUUUCAUCGGUGCCCGCAGUACCCACUUAAAAAUAAACAGAAUGACCCGUGUAUGUUGUAUUAACAAUUGUAAAAAUGCCAGUUCCAAGGAGAUAAAGAAAUCUGAAAACACCGUUUUUAAAUUUCCUUCUAGUCCUGAUAUGCGGAAAAAAUGGUUAGAAGUUUUAGGCAACAGCAAGCGUAUAAUUAAAAACCGAAAAAAUGAAGCCAUAUCUGACCUCUAUAUUUGUGAUUUGCAUUUUAAAGAAUCUGAUUUCUUGAAGGAUGCAACGUCCAAUUUUGUUGAUGGGAAAGAAGUAACAGUUUCGCGCAAGCGAAUACGUCUCAAAGCUAGUAGUGUGCCCUCAGUUAAAAUAAAUCCUGUUACAAGUUCAUUAAAUACGUGCAACAGCAACAAAAUAAGUUUCAUAACAACAAAAGACAUUUAUAAUGAUGACAAUGCUCCCAAGAUAUUGGAAUCACUCCCAGAAACUUAUGUUGUGGAACACGACUAUGGUUUACAUGAUUAUCCAGGACCAAUAUUUUGUACAAAUGCCAUUAUCAAUAUUGAUCCUGAAAGUCUUGAAUUGCCAAAAACAUGGGGAGUUACUGAGAAAAUAGUUCAAAAUAAGAAAUAUUUGUUGUUCAUGAAAGUAAUUACUCAAGCUAUGGAUCAACAAGAAACUGAACUGCUUCAAAAAUAUAUGCUCCUUGAUUGUACAGGAAAGAAUGCGAGUUAUUUUGUUUAUGGACACCAAGUCAAAGAUAUGGCACUAUUGCCAGAGUUUAUUCACAAUACAGACACAUUACUGAGAAGUUUGAAGAUAUUCGAGGUGAUGAAUGUGUGUGAAGGAUUGGGGCGAAUUGACCCUUCUUUAAUACGAAAGUCCAAAGUGUUGAGAGAUUCUGCAAACUAUUUACGACAUGCUAGCUGCACCUGGUUGUUAACUAGAAACAAAACAUGCAUAUUUUGCAAAAAAUUAAAACGUUUAAUCUCCAGAAGGCGUUUAAGAUCUAAUAAAGUUGCUUGUGGUGGUUCAGAUAGUAAAGAAAUGCUUAACAACUUGAGGAGGCAACUGGCUCGUGAAAAGCGUCUAAGAAAAAUUGCAGUAGAACAGAAAAGAAUGUUAUUAAAGGAGGUGUCUGAGAAAAGAAAGGAAAUAGCAACUGCCGUUAAUUAUGGGGUGUCAUUUGAAAACAUCUGUUUCCAACAUAGGGUUCUUCAUAAUCACAGAUUGGCUUUAAAAGAGAUACUAGAUACUUCGAAGACUAAACCUCAGGGUCGGAGGUAUUCAGAGGAGUGGCUGAUGUUUUGCAUAUCAAUUAGCAUUAGGUCGCCCUCCAUUUACGAAUUUUUGAGAAAAACUAAUAUAAUUCCGCUACCAAAUUUGGCAACAAUUCGAAGAUAUUUUUACGGUAAAAAUCCUAAAGGCAACUUCAAUAAAUUGUUUAUUGAUUUAGUAAAAAGCUAUCAAGUUAAAAACACCCAACAAGUCCCUGAACCUUUUAUAUAUCAAAAUGCUAGUGAUAAUGACUUUCAAUCAGAUGAAUGGUGAAAUUAUCUUUUUUAUAACUUCUUGUUUUCAUUUGCUGAAAGGAAAAUAGUAAAUUAAUUAUAUAUAUAAAUAAAACACUUAAAAUUUUACUCCGACUGAAAAAGCGUAAGGGGUUUGACGAUAUCUCUUCCGCUAAAUAACUUGGGGACCUGAAACUUUCAAAAAUCGUUUAAGAAUUGCGUUUUGUAAAAGCGCUUCUAGUAAUGUAAAAUUUAAUAAUACAAGACUUCGUUUUAUAAGGGAUUCCAAUGAUGUGAUUAAAAACUAAACAAAUUAGUUGAUCAUUGAAGUUUUAAAAUGUACUAAUCUUCUCACUUCUCACUCAAUAUUAGGAAAAGCACUUCUUACAAGAAUUUACGCCUUCUGUGGACCCUCAAGGAAAACUAGAAAUAUAUUUAUUUUAGAACAAAAUCCAAUAGAAUAUUACUUCGCUGGUAUGUUCAUAUGUUACCUAUAAAUAGGGUAAAAAUUCUAAUAUUAAUAUGUAGAGUACAUAAUAAUCGUUACAUGCAAUCAGUGAUUGCAAUUCAUUUCCUGAUGAAGUCACAGUGUCGCGAAACGGUCAUAGUGGAAAAUAAACAUAAUUAUUGUCUAUUAAGCAGAGAACUGAGGAGACUGCUGCCCAAAAUUAGUAUACAACCAGCCUGUAACGAAUCGAGAAUUGGGACAACAGAACCACGACAAAACUAUUUAUAUUUAAAGAGGACGGAGAAUUAAUAUUUUAUCCAAACAACAACACCCCAAACAAACAAAAACGUGACAACGUUUAAGAGGGAAACCCUUCGAUCGCGACUUUAGCAGCAAUUUGUGUGUUCAUGUGUAUUGUAUUGGUGUAAUUGAUAGAUAUUCUUUCUCUUCCGAAGAGAGAAGAGAAAGAACGAAUGGACCAAAGGAAAAAAUCCAUGAACGACGGUCCAAGAACAGCUGAAAAAGAAAAUAGGUAAUAAUGUUAGUAUCAUCGUUUAAAAAAGCAUUUGGUUGAAUGUAAAAUAUUUCACUUACCGCUCAUGCUGAAACAAAAAAGGAGAUAGAUUAGUAAAAUGUAAAAGAGGUACCCCAUGAUAGGGUGGCAGUGGUAUACUUACUUCAUUACCUACGAAGUUGGGGGUAAUUAAGUUUAAAUUGAUUUUAAACUUAAUAAUAAGUUUUCUGUUCAUGAGUGUGUUUGUGUCUACAAAAAAUUCAACAUGUUUUGGUGGAAAUGAGAUUUUAAAAAUUGAGGAUGAUUAAAAUUCUGAUAAUUAAGAAACAUAAAAGUGGCAUAAGGUAAAUUGAAAACAAAUUUGAAGUAAAAAGUGUUGUGUGUUGUUAAAACAUUGUAAAUGUGGCCCCGCUGGCGGUAAUUCAAAUCAGACGAGGACGAAAUUAAAUUAAACGAACGCUUAUGCUAAUAAUAUCGCAACAGAAGAAAGUAAAUGGCAAAAUUUAAAAAUAAACGACCAAGUAAAUAAUUAA